UGUAAUCUACGAUUUAUCACCACCUUAGAACAUCAAUUAUCUGAAUUUUGAGCCAUAUAUUUGGACGUCCUGAAGGCAAAGCUUUAUCUGUAUUCUUUGUUGACAGGUUCAGGUCUGUAAGGAGGAGAUGAGAUGAUCAUGUGUUUCAAGUUUUUUGAGAGAAAUAUCAGAAUUGUAGCAUGUCCAUCAGAACUGUGGAUUAUAUAUAUCUGAUACAUGUACCUAUCUUCAUAGCAACGAGAAGAGACCGCCGUCAAUGGAUCUCCUCCAGCAUCGUGAAUAUGCGGCACCAAUAGCAGCAUCAACACAAGGUUUCCUCUAGGCUCGCUCAGGUUUUGCAUUUGUACCAUGGAUAUUUGUAGUCUGAUGCAUUUUAACAGUAAACUAUAGGAAAAUAACCAUUGACUGGAUUAUAUAUCCAAACACAUCUCUUGAUUAUUCACUCCCAGUUUUACAAUGUUGAAUCUGUAAAAAAAUAAGAGCGCUGUUACACACAAACACAGGGAUGAUAUCUUUCUCCUUUUGUAUGAAAUGUUGUAAUUCUCUGAUCUAUUUUAUCGCCACAUGAAUAUUUUAUAUUCGUACUCUUCGGAUAUAAAUGUGAACCUAAGACUAGAAGGAUAGGAUCAUGCAAGUAAAUGCAUAACGUAUGCCUACGUAAACAAAGAAACGGAGCUUUUUCGGAAGAAAAAGAAAUGGAGCUGACAAUAAGGGACUUACACUUCAGCAACUCACAAGAACAAUCAUAUAAUUUCUUGGGUAGACUAUCUAUUUGACAUUCUUUCGGUGCCAAGUGAGUUUUUUUGGCUAUAUUUUCCUGUCCAAAGUAAUUAUUUUAAUUCACGUUGAUUUUAUAAAAUUAUCCUAGGGAUGUGGAUUUUCCCUUUCCUCUAUAAAGAAGUAAGUUAUGCUGGAAAAAAAGAAAAAUCAAGGGAAGCUGAGGUAUGUUCUUUUGUGUCCUAAUUAUAAGCAUUACCAGUUUUAUGUGCCAAGGUCCAGUAUAGUUAGAGCCACUAUCCUAUUUCAUCCACGCAGCUGCAAACAAUUAGUAAGGUUUAAAUGUAUCUGACUUUGUUUAUCUUAAGAUUGGGUGGACUGGCUAUAUUUUAAUUUAGGCAGUUCAGUAGUCUAUCGACCUCUAACUAAUGGAAAUGAGAGAAGCCUCAAUUCACAUGAUAUAUGAUUUAUAUGCAUUUCUUAAUCAACGUGUUGAGAAAUAUAAUCAUGCCACUUGGUAAUACUAUCACAUUUUCUGUUGGCCCUCAUUUCAGAUAAGGAACAGUUGUGGCAGGCUGGCAGCAGGUGUCCUUGCACAAAUUAGAAUACCAAUGUAUAUCCAUUUUCUUCCUAUUUUAUAUGAAGGUGGUAAACAAUAACACAGUUUUCUGCUCUUGAGAACUUAUCUCUAUUAUACUAGGAUUACCAUUGAGAUUUGAUUGCUAAGACACUUACCAA